rnacentral:misc_RNA from 1 species
GAACGGUCGGCAGGCGAUCCGCGUCGGUCGCGCUGGGUGGUAUGGUUCCCCAGAGGCCGGUUCUUGUGCUGCCUACCCCUUCAGGGGAAGAGUUCCAAACUCGAUGUAAGCCUCCAUCCGGCGCCCUCCAAAGGGCGCGGGAGGACAACGGAGCACCCCCCGCGUUCCACCGAGCCUCCUCGGUCGCGUGGCCCGCGGGGACGUGCGAUGCUCUCGGACCCAGUGAACGCCGUGGGCGAGGACUCACGUCCCGGUCCCAAGUGAAGCAACGGUAUAACGCACGACGGCCGCUCCCGCCCCACGACCGCCCCGGCGGCGCGGGGGCGAAGGCGCGGCGUCGCUGAGGAAUGCU